rnacentral:rRNA from 1 species
UACGUAGGUGGCAAGCGUUGUCCGGAUUUAUUGGGCGUAAAGAGCUCGUAGGCGGUUCGGCAAGUCACGUGUGAAAUCUCCACGCUCAACGUGGAGGCGCCACGUGAGACUGCUGUGACUCGAGUCCGGUAGGGGAGCGUGGAAUUCCCGGUGUAGCGGUGAAAUGCGCAGAGAUCGGGAGGAACACCCGUAGCGAAGGCGGCGCUCUGGGCCGGUACUGACGCUGAGGAGCGAAAGCGUGGGGAGCAAACAGG